rnacentral:rRNA from 1 species
UACGAAGGGUGCAAGCGUUACUCGGAAUUACUGGCGUAAAGCGCGCGUAGGCGGCUUUGCAAGUCGAGUGUGAAAUCCCAGGCUUAACCUGGAACUGCAUUCGAGACUGCAUAGCUAGAGUAUGGGAGAGGAAGUGGAAUUCAGGUGUAGCGGUGAAAUGCGUAGAUAUCUGAAGGAACAUCAGUGGCGAAGGCGGCGAUCUGGUGGAUACUGACGCUGAGGUGCGAAAGCGUGGGAGCAACAG